AUUGAACGCUGGCGGCAGGCCUAACACAUGCAAGUCGAGCGGAUGAAGGGAGCUUGCUCCUGGAUUCAGCGGCGGACGGGUGAGUAAUGCCUAGGAAUCUGCCUGGUAGUGGGGGAUAACGUCCGGAAACGGGCGCUAAUACCGCAUACGUCCUGAGGGAGAAAGUGGGGGAUCUUCGGACCUCACGCUAUCAGAUGAGCCUAGGUCGGAUUAGCUAGUUGGCGGGGUAAAGGCCUACCAAGGCGACGAUCCGUAACUGGUCUGAGAGGAUGAUCAGUCACACUGGAACUGAGACACGGUCCAGACUCCUACGGGAGGCAGCAGUGGGGAAUAUUGGACAAUGGGCGAAAGCCUGAUCCAGCCAUGCCGCGUGUGUGAAGAAGGUCUUCGGAUUGUAAAGCACUUUAAGUUGGGAGGAAGAGCAGUAAGUUAAUACCUUGCUGUUUUGACGUUACCAACAGAAUAAGCACCGGCUAACUUCGUG
rnacentral:rRNA from 1 species